UGAUUUGUUGGACGCUAGCGGCGGAUGGGUGAGUAACACGUGGGCAAUCUGCCCUAAAGACUGGGAUACCACUUGGAAACAGGUGCUAAUACCGGAUAACAACAUGAAUCGCAUGAUUCAAGUUUGAAAGGCGGCGUAAGCUGUCACUUUAGGAUGAGCCCGCGGCGCAUUAGCUAGUUGGUGGGGUAAAGGCCUACCAAGGCAAUGAUGCGUAGCCGAGUUGAGAGACUGAUCGGCCACAUUGGGACUGAGACACGGCCCAAACUCCUACGGGAGGCAGCAGUAGGGAAUCUUCCACAAUGGACGCAAGUCUGAUGGAGCAACGCCGCGUGAGUGAAGAAGGUUUUCGGAUCGUAAAGCUCUGUUGUUGGUGAAGAAGGAUAGAGGCAGUAACUGGUCUUUAUUUGACGGUAAUCAACCAGAAAGUCACGGCUAACUACGUGCCAGCAGCCGCGGUAAUACGUAGGUGGCAAGCGUUGUCCGGAUUUAUUGGGCGUAAAGCGAG
rnacentral:rRNA from 1 species